UCUUGGACUUCAACAUGUUUAUUGUAAGUCAAAUCGCGCAGGUAUAUCAAAGGUCAUAAUUGAGGGCGGAAAGGGGAUAGGGGAUUACCAGUGGUGUACGUUCGAACAUGAAAAUACGAGUGUUUACAGUGUCCCGUGAAUAUAUAUAUAUACCCAUCGCGAUAUCUCCUGGGUUAAUAAAGAUAGUAAAAUUCGAUCGUUUAACUUGAAAUAUAACUCAAAGA